UGCGGGGUGGAGCAGCGGUAGCUCGCCGGGUUCAUGUCCCGGAGGUCGUGGGUUCGAAUCCCAUCUCCGCUACAA
rnacentral:tRNA from 1 species